CGCAAACUUUUUUUUCGAUAUGAACUCUAAAAAAAAAUAACGCUGUUAUCCCUAAGGUAAUUUAAUCUUAUAAUCAUAAAAUAUGGAUCAUCUAUUCAUAUAUCAAUGUUUUAAUAUAAAAAAAGUUAUAUUAAUUUUUUAGUUGCCCCAACUAAAUAUUUAUAUAAAUACCUAAAUCUAGAAUACUAAAACUUUCAAAUAUUUAUAUAAAUAUAAAAUUCUAUAGGGUCUUCUCGUCUUUUAAAAUUAUUUAAGCUUUUUUACUUAAAAAUAAAAUUCUAAUUUAAAUUAAAUUGAGACAGUCCCUCUCUCGUCAAACCUUUCAUACCAGUUCUCAAUUAAAAAACUAAUUAUUAUGCUACCUUUGCACGGUCAAAAUACCGCGGCCAUUUAAAAAUAUUAUUCAUAGGGCAGGUCAGACUUUAUAUUAUAAUCAAAAAGACAU
rnacentral:rRNA from 1 species